CUAUAUACGUGAGUUCAAGUGUCACACCCGGUUUUAAAGGUAAAACCGAAUGCUACCUAUAUGUAUGCCAGGAUCAAGUUUUAUACAUAUAGUGACAUCAUUAGUGAAUAACAACAACAGUAUCACGUAAAAAGAUACAAAGACUUACAAAACCAUCAGAGAUAUACAACUUAAUUAUGGAAACGGAGGCUCCAAACUUCACAGGCAAUCGACUGGGGGCUGCGUACGCCUAGAACUCAGCAUCUUCUCAACUUCAUAGCAGCUUCUUCUUCUGAGCAAUGUUGGUUAUAGCAAGGGUGAGCACUUGUCGUACUCAGCAAGUGUGAGGAGAAUAUGAAUGCAAGGGUUAAACAAGGAAAGGCUGACUGGUUGACUGCAUUAAGCAUUUUUAGUUGGUCAAAUUUUAUUAGCACCUGAUUACUAAGGUAUAAGUAUAUACCAACCCACAAUUAAUAGAAACAUAACCAUAAGCCAUAAGCACAUGGCAGAAACAUAACCAUAGCAUAAAACACGAUUUUAGUCCAUCUUCAAGUAUAUUAAUCAUGUGAGGGUCCAGGCCGCUCUUAACCGUGAGCACGGCUGAUCGAUCAGUUUUACACUCUGCAGAGGUCGCACAUCUUUACCCACAAGUCGCGUAAAAGUUCAAAAGAACUUUAGACCCAACCACGCUUGUGCUGAUCAGGCACAAUACCAUACUUCCGAGGUGUGAUUGCAUAGGGACGCUACGAGGCCUUUACAAAGAUUCAUUAGUCAGUGGUAACCCGCUAAGGUUUCGGUGUCUGGCGUGCACAACCUAUCACAGGCCGAUAACGCAACGACUCAGUCCCCCCUCUUGCCUCAUCAUGAGUAAGAUUACCCCAGACUAAAGUUUCUAAUUAUUCAGCCAAGACCAGAGCCAUUUAGUCUUGUGGUAGCACUGUUUUCCUGGGUGGUUCUCCAUGUUCCAAUUAAUCACAGUGAUCUUGUAUUAACAAAAGGUGUAGCAUAAAUAAAAUAAGUUCAUCAUCUUUGUUCAUUAGAACCACCAUAACCCAAGUAUAGCAUCUAAGCAUAGCUACCAAACAGAAAGGUAAACCCAGGUUGGCAAGGAAUAAUCACAAAAACUAGGCAAACCUUAAUAGGACCCAUCAAAUUUAAUGCAAGCAUAUGCAAUAGUGAUUAAACAAAGUUAUUGGGACAAAAGCACAAGGACACACUUGCCUUUUUCCAGCGACAAGUUACUUCUUACUGCUCUUCGGCUCUUGCUCUCUUGAAACUCUUAAUCUUCAAAGCUUUCGAACAGCGAUCCUUCUACUUGAAGCAAUCACCAACACAGUCAUACAAGCAAGCAAACAAAUACAACUAAGAGCAGUACACCAAAAUAAAAGGAAAGCUUUAAAAGAGCGUACUAACGACAAGGCUUGAUCUAAGGUCACGCGAACGUAAGGAAUGCUUAAAACGGAACUAUGGUUGAAAAGAUAAAGCUAUCGAGAGUUUUGAAUCAUAAAAGAAAGAUAAGAGCUACAAGCUUUAUUUAUUUUAGUUGAGAAAAGCAAUGUAAAGAUAUUUCAGAGAAAUAUCCUUAGUUAGAAUUAAUCAAGUCAUAUUUAUAUUUUCAUAAGAAAAGACGGUGUAAAGCUUAGUCCAAUUUUAUUUAUAAAUAUUUGAGUACAAUUUAUGCAAAUUAAACAUUUAAUUUAAAAAUAAGAUACAUGUAGACAUCUAAGCGUAUAGCUUUACAUCUCGAGUUCAACUAAGUAGAUUAAAUUAAAAACACAUUUAUAUUUAUAUUAGCCAAAUUAAUAUUUAAUUAUGAAACUCGAGAUAUAACCUAUACAGAUUUUAUUUAGAAAACAAAUUGAAUAAAUAUUAAUCAAAUUGAAUUCAAUUUAUGAAACACCGAGGUAUAACUCUAAGUGGCUUUUAAUUGGAAGAAUUAUUUAGAUAGGCAUUAAACCAAUUAACUUUAGUUUAUGAAAAACCGAUAUAUAACCUAAUUGGCUUUUAUUUAGAAGAGGGUAAGAAGUAGGCAUUAAUCAAAUUAACAAUUAUUAUGAAAAACGAUGUUUAACACUAAAUAGAUUUUAUUUAGAGAAGAACUCGUUUGUGAGGCAUUAAUCAAUUUUAAUAUAAAUUUUAUUUUCAAAAACAUGUGUGAAGGAAAACAUUACCACGAACGUGUAAUUUAGAUCAUUAUGAAUCUACAACUUGAACGGACAAAAACGGAAUUAAAACGUAGAAUCUAUGGGUUAAACAAGGUUGUAGGGGCCUAAACAUAAUUAACCGUAGACUUGGAGGGUUAGCAAGGAAAAUUUGCAAGACACCAGGAAUAGUUCUCGCGAAAAGGUGAAAACUCGGGGUUAGGUCUGCAAAAGGUCAAGGCUUGGAUUAGAUUGAAAGAAUGCAAGAAUUACAGGGGCCUCACUAAAAGAUUUACAAGACACAAGAAUUGAGAAAAAGAAAACAGAAGAGGUCAGGGGCUAGAUUGAAAAGUGGCGCCUCAUCUUCUUCCUCACGCUAGGAGCAUGGUGCAGCUCCUGGCCGGCGGCCUGCUGGCGUUCCGGCGCGGCGGAGGCCCGGGCAGGUGGUGCUAGCGGCGGUGGCCGGGCUAGGGGCCAAGGGCACGGCCGGUGACGGCGCACAGGCGGCGCACGGCACGCAGCGGCGUGCGAGCGAACACAAACAGGCGGAGGCCAUGGCCAUGGUUACUGUUGCACAGAAAUAGGAGAAACAGAGAGGAAGAUGGAAAGCUAGAAACGAAGCCCGAUCUCGCACAUGAACGACAAAAUUGAACGAUAUCGACGAGAUGAACAAGAUGGUGUGCUCACCUUCGGCCAGAGAUGAACAAUGGCGGCGAAAAAGCUCGCCGGAGUUGGGGAAGACGACAGAGCCGACAUCGGAUUCACGCAAUCCACCCCACCACGGCGUAGAGCUUGAAGAGAGGAACUCCGUGGUGGUGUCGGUUUUCGCCGGAAGUCCACGGUUUUACCAGAAAAGCUCGCCGAAGUUUGACGAAGAUCGAACUUUGACUUCAGAUCUACGGAGUUAGGAGAGGCAACUCGUGAAAAGGUUUGUAG
rnacentral:lncRNA from 1 species